rnacentral:rRNA from 1 species
AAGGUCUCCGUUGGUGAACCAGCGGAGGGAUCAUUACCGAGUUUACAACUCCCAAACCCAUGUGAACAUACCUACUGUUGCUUCGGCGGGAUUGCCCCGGGCGCCUCGUGUGCCCCGGAUCAGGCGCCCGCCUAGGAAACUUAAUUCUUGUUUUAUUUUGGAAUCUUCUGAGUAGUUUUUACAAAUAAAUAAAAACUUUCAACAACGGAUCUCUUGGUUCUGGCAUCGAUGAAGAACGCAGCGAAAUGCGAUAAGUAAUGUGAAUUGCAGAAUUCAGUGAAUCAUCGAAUCUUUGAACGCACAUUGCGCCCGCCAGUAUUCUGGCGGGCAUGCCUGUCUGAGCGUCAUUUCAACCCUCAUGCCCCUAGGGCGUGGUGUUGGGGAUCGGCCAAAGCCCGCGAGGGACGGCCGGCCCCUAAAUCUAGUGGCGGACCCGUCGUGGCCUCCUCUGCGAAGUAGUGAUAUUCCGCAUCGGAGAGCGACGAGCCCCUGCCGUUAAACCCCCAACUUUCCAAGGUUGACCUCAGAUCAGGUAGGAAUACCCGCUGAACUUAAGCAUAUCAAUAAGCGGAGGAAAAGAAACCAACAGGGAUUGCCCUAGUAACGGCGAGUGAAGCGGCAACAGCUCAAAUUUGAAAUCUGGCGCAAGCCCGAGUUGUAAUUUGUAGAGGAUGUUUCUGGCGACGUGCCUUCCGAGUUCCCUGGAACGGGACGCCAUAGAGGGUGAGAGCCCCGUACGGUUGGAUGCCUAGCCUCUGUGAAACUCCUUCGACGAGUCGAGUAGUUUGGGAAUGCUGCUCUAAAUGGGAGGUAUACGUCUUCUAAAGCUAAAUACCGGCCAGAGACCGAUAGCGCACAAGUAGAGUGAUCGAAAGAUGAAAAGCACUUUGAAAAGAGGGUUAAAAAGUACGUGAAAUUGUUGAAAGGGAAGCGUUCAUGACCAGACUUGGGCAGGUUGAUCAUCCGUGGUUCUCCGCGGUGCACUCUGCCUGCCCAGGCCAGCAUCAGUUCGCCCCGGGGGAUAAAGGCUUUGGGAAUGUGGCUCCCUCGGGAGUGUUAUAGCCCACUGUGUAAUACCCUGGGGUGGACUGAGGUUCGCGCUCUGCAAGGAUGCUG